rnacentral:rRNA from 1 species
CAAGGAAUUUUCGGCAAUGGGCGCAAGCCUGACCGAGCAACGCCGCGUGCGGGAUGACGGCCUUCGGGUUGUAAACCGCUUUUCGGGGGGACGAUGACGACGGUACCCCCGGAAGAAGCCCCGGCUAACUCUGUGCCAGCAGCCGCGGUAAGACAGAGGGGGCGAGCGUUGUCCGGAGUUACUGGGCGUAAAGCGCGCGCAGGCGGCGGCCUAAGUGUCGUGUGAAAGCCCCCGGCUCAACCGGGGGAGGCCAUGGCAGACUGGGUCGCUGGAGCCGCAGAGAGGCCCCUCGAAUUGCCGGUGUAGCGGUGAAAUGCGUAGAGAUCGGCAGGAAGACCAAGGGGGAAGCCAGGGGGCUGGCUGCGGGCUGACGCUGAGGCGCGACAGCGUGGGGAGCAAACCGGAUUAGAUACCCGGGUAGUCCACGCCGUAAACGAUGACCACUCGGCGUGUGGCGACUAUUGACGUCGCGGCGCGCCCAAGCUCACGCGAUAAGUGGUCCGCCUGGGAACUACGAGCGCAAGCUUA